UUUUUCUUUUUUUCGAUGAGUUGAUGUUUCAAUGUCCUGGAGACAGAGAUUGAGUUAAUUUAGUAAAGCAAAGGUCAAGUCAUUUAUUUGUUGUCAUAGAGGAGGAAAUGAGUAAUUGAUUUGGUUAAUAUUAUAUUUUUUUAAACUGGUAAUCCCUAUGAGUUUUAGACAAAACCUCAGUGCAGUCAGGGGUGUUCUUACUAGUUGAUACCUCAACACAUUGACAUAGAUCGUUGUAUUGGCAAAUUGCUUACUGCGUUAGGUGGUUCUUUAAUAAAAUGGGACCUAGAUUGAAAGUGGGUGUGCUUGUAUGGGUUGAUUGGAAAUGGUUGGUGGGGAGGAGCCAGUUGUCUUCAGUUGUUUGACUGAUUGAGCUAAUAAAGUUCCUGUUUUUCCUAAAAACAUUCCUAGGUUGUUGCUGUUGCCUUUGAGGACAGGAUGCAAUUCUUGUAAGAAAAUAAGAAGCCUGAGGAUACAGAAAGAGUAUUGAUGAAAAGACAAGCUUGAAGAACACCUUUCAUCAUCUUGUAAGAAAGGUCUAAUGGUGAUGAACUCCAUUCCUGAAAGGCAACUUUUCCAGGUCGUGUUAAAAGUUCAGACUUACUCAGAAUCAUAUAACAGAACUCUACUUGAACUCUCUGAAGCAAAAGAAGUUUCCCCAUUUUGAUCAAGAGGGCUGUCAUUCUGAAACAGUCCAUGUGGCAAAGAAUUUAUGGCAGCUUACAGCCAACAACUUGCAAGGAACUGAGGCCUCUCAGUCCAUCAACCCACAAGAGAUGGAAUCCUGCCUGGGUUCUCUUGGAAGAAGAAUUUUCCCCAACCAAAUCUUGAGCUGAGUGUGAUCCUGGGCUGAGAUGUUGAUUGCAGGCUUGCAAGAGACCCUGAAGCUAAGGAACCAGCAGUGAUCUUUGCCUACUUUCAGACUACUCUGCCUUCAGUUAGCAAGGCAACCAUGUGGAUCAGGGCUGUGCACUCCAGACAAAAGAUCCAGAAACUAUAGUGAAAAUCUGAGGUGUUGUCAAACACUCAACUCAACCUCCUUUUACAUCUCAGCUGGAUCCUGAAGAAAAUUGCAGGCCCUGGGGUUUCAGUUUAUCUCAUGAGCUGAUAAGUUAGUCUGUUGGUGCCGCUUCACGGAUGCAGGAGAAGGCAUGAGACUCCUGGGUCAGAGGUAAAGGACUUUAUCACUCACAGCAGCAUGAGCACCAUAUUUGCACUGGUUCUUCUUUUUCCGCUCAUCCACUGGAGCCAGUGCGAGGGGGCCCAAAUAGAUGCUGCAUGUGCAAUGAGUUGCAUUACAGGAGAAAAACACUGAGCUUGGAGAAUUUACCAACUUAAGGCAACCACAAGUGGUAAGCAAGCCUGCCCUUUGUCCCUAAGAUAUGACCUCAUCCCUCAGGGCUGCUUGCUGUAAACACAGCCCUGAGAAACGGCUUAGGUAUGAUGCUGUCAGGGCUUUGCAUGCUUGGUAAAUCCUACUAAGACUUGUAGGAGUGUGACAGAUUUUGGAGACAAAAACAUAAUUAAGAUUGUGGAAGUAAGUCCACAUCUGGAAGGUCACCCCAUGAAAGACUGUUCUACUUUCAUUCCUUUAUUUAGUUAGUUUUGCAAAAAUAAAAUGUCCCUGGAUUUCUCAAUGUUUCCAUAACAUCCCUUUGCCUCCUGAGACAUGGAAACAUUUUACUCUUCACACACCAUGAAAACUACAGCUAUCACUGUUUAUCUUGUAAAUUGUUUUCAUCUAAUAGGAUAAUAAAACUUCUCUAUUUCCCCAAGAGAGCCAAGAGUGGGCCUGGACUGGGUCCCUAGGUUCAGCUGCAGGCUGCCCUGGCGGCUGGAACAUUCUCUCCCCAGGUACGUACUGACAUUUCAGUAGGAAAAAAUCCCCAGAUAGUGGGGGCAAUCUGGUUCUUAGAGAGAUUUUUAUUUGUAUACCAAAGGAUUGGAGGCCUUUUCAAAAACCUUCUCAGGAAGGGAGGGAGAGAGCUGCAUCCUUCUCCUUUAUAAGCAGAGAAAAACUGUCUUACUUCCACACUCUCACCUGUGGAUGGUUGUGCUGCUUAUGUAGGAAAAAAUCCUAUCAGCUCUCUUCAUGUCACCUGAAGAUAGGGGAAAAAGAAUCAAUGUAUUUACCAUUUACUGUGAGUUGACGGAAAAAUCUGUCUAUAAGCCAGAAUAUCUCCUAUGAGCAGUUCAGGGAAAAUCAAUAAAGGUAAAUAUUUUAAAAACCAACAUUAGUCAGUUUUCAACAAAUAUCUAUUGAUCAUCAAUUAUACGCCACACUCGGUUUUAAGGCCAAAGAUAAAUUAGAACUAA